rnacentral:rRNA from 1 species
AUUGAACGCUGGCGGCAGGCCUAACACAUGCAAGUCGAGCGAGCGGCGGACGGGGGAGUAUUAUCUGGGAAACUGCCUGAUGGAGGGGGAUAACUACUGGGAACGGUAGCUAAUACCGCACACCAUCAGAUGUGCCCAGAUGGGAUUAGCUAGUAGAUGGGGUAACGCCUCACCUAGGCGACGCUCCCUAGCUGUUCUGAGAGGAUGACCAUCCACACUGGAACUGAGACACGGUCCAGACUCCUACGGGAGGCAGCAGUGGGGAAUAUUGCACAAUGGGCGCAAGCCUGAUGCAGCCAUGCCGCGUGUGUGAAGAAGUCCUUCGGGUUGUAAAGCACUUUCAGCGGGGAGGCGUUACCCGCAGAAGAAGCACCGGCUAACUCCGUGACAGCAGCCGCGGUAAUUC